CGGGUGAGUAAUACAUCGGAACGUGCCCAGUAGUGUGGGAUAGCCCGGCGAAAGCCGGAUUAAUACCGCAUACGACCUACGGGUGAAAGGGGGGGAUCGCAAGACCUCUCGCUAUUGGAGCGGCCGAUGUCAGAUUAGCUAGUUGGUGGGGUAAAGGCCUACCAAGGCAUCGAUCAGUAGCUGGUCUGAGAGGACGACCGGCCACACUGGGACUGAGACACGGCCCAG
rnacentral:rRNA from 1 species